GCGGGAAUAGCUCAGUUGGUAGAGCCCCGGAUUGUGAUUCCGGUUGUCGCGGGUUCAAGACCCGUUUCUCGCC
rnacentral:tRNA from 3 species